AAUGAACGCUGGCGGCAUGCCUAACACAUGCAAGUCGAACGAAGGCUUCGGCCUUAGUGGCGCACGGGUGCGUAACGCGUGGGAAUCUGCCCUCAGGUUCGGAAUAACAGCGAGAAAUUGCUGCUAAUACCGGAUGAUAUCGCGAGAUCAAAGAUUUAUCGCCUGAGGAUGAGCCCGCGUAGGAUUAGCUAGUUGGUGUGGUAAAGGCGCACCAAGGCGACGAUCCUUAGCUGGUCUGAGAGGAUGAUCAGCCACACUGGGACCGAGACACGGCCCAGACUCCUACGGGAGGCAGCAGUGGGGAAUAUUGGACAAUGGGCGAAAGCCUGAUCCAGCAAUGCUGCGUGAGUGAUGAAGGCCUUAGGGUUGUAAAGCUCUUUUACCCGGGAUGAUAAUGACAGUACCGGGAGAAUAAGCUCCGGCUAACUCCGUGCCAGCAGCCGCGGUAA
rnacentral:rRNA from 1 species